GCGAGCGUGGCGGAACUGGCAUACGCACCAGGCUUAGAACCUGGCGCCGCAAGGCAUGAGGGUUCGAGUCCCUCCGCUCGCA
rnacentral:tRNA from 1 species